GACAGGGAGACAGGGAGACAGGUAGACAGAGAAGCUGCUCUAGAGAAACAGGGAGACAGGUAGACGGAGAAGCUGCUAUAGAGAAACAGGGAGACAAGGAUACAGGUAGACAGGUAGACAGAGAAGCUGCUCUAGAGAAACAGGGAGACAGGGAGACAGGUAGACAGAGAUGCUGCUCUAGAGAAACAGGGAGACAGGUAGACAGAGAAGCUGCUCUAGGGAGACAGGGAGACAGGUAAACAGAGAAGCUGCUCUAGAGAAACAGGGAGACAAGGAUACAGGUAGACAGGUAGACAGAGAAGCUGCUCU
ensembl:lncRNA